ACGAACGCUGGCGGCGUGCUUAACACAUGCAAGUCGCACGGAAAGGCCCUGCUUUUGUGGGGUGCUCGAGUGGCGAACGGGUGAGUAACACGUGAGUAACCUGCCCUUGACUUUGGGAUAACUUCAGGAAACUGGGGCUAAUACCGGAUAGGAGCUCCUGCUGCAUGGUGGGGGUUGGAAAGUUUCGGCGGUUGGGGAUGGACUCGCGGCUUAUCAGCUUGUUGGUGGGGUAGUGGCUUACCAAGGCUUUGACGGAUAGCCGGCCUGAGAGGGUGACCGGCCACAUUGGGACUGAGAUACGGCCCAGACUCCUACGGGAGGCAGCAGUGGGGAAUAUUGCACAAUGGGCGGAAGCCUGAUGCAGCAACGCCGCGUGCGGGAUGACGGCCUUCGGGUUGUAAACCGCUUUCGCCUGUGACGAAGCGGGAGUGACGGUAAUGGGUAAAGAAGCACCGGCUAACUACGUG
rnacentral:rRNA from 1 species